rnacentral:rRNA from 1 species
AAUAUUGCGCAAUGGACGGAAGUCUGACGCAGCGCCGCCGCGUGAGCGAUUAAGGCCUUCGGGUCUUAAAGCUCUGUCCUUGGGGAAGAAGGUCUUCGGACUUGACGGUACCCAAGAAGAAAGCCCCUGCUAACUACGUGCCAGCAGCCGCGGUAAUACGUAGGGGGCGAGCGUUUUCCGGAAGUACUGGGCGUAAGGGGUGCGUAGGCGGCCCUUUAAGUCAGAUGUGAAAGGCCACGGCUUAACCGUGGGAUUGCAUUUGAAACUGGAGGGCUUGAGUGUCGGAGAGGGUAGUGGAAUUCCCAGUGUAGCGGUGAAAUGCGUAGAUAUUGGGAGGAACACCAGUGGCGAAGGCGACUACCUGGACGAUAACUGACGCUGAGGCACGAAAGCUAGGGGAGCAAAC